rnacentral:tRNA from 1 species
ACUCUUWAUUUAAAAGACAGUAGUUAGACUCUACUAUUAAGGA